AAUGAAGAACCGAGGGUAGUUGCUUUGGUGAAGGGAAUAUCUCUGGGCUGAAUGUCUUCUCCUUGCCUCGCUUAUCCACCUCCAGACUUCUCGCCUGCCCUCGGCUCUACAAGGCUGAUCGGAAUGGAGCAUCCACAAGCUCCUCUCCUGUAUCCUGAGCUUUUGGUUGGGCUCAGCCAUCUGUUACCUGCUGGGACUCUGGCUGAUAAAACCUCUAAGGUCAUGAUGGGUCAGCUCCAACUUCAAGCUGCAAGUUUGAUAUUUUCUAGAAAGCAAUGAUAUCCGUGGCCCUUUACCCUAUAAACCCAUCCAUCUUCCAAGAGGGAACGUCUGGCUGCCUAGGAGCAAGGAUCGAGGGAGGGCUGGUCCAAGAGAUCUGCUCUGCAUGGCUCUGGGGAAGCCAUUCUGGCCCAAGGCAAUGCAGUGCUCAUUCUGGGACCUCUGCUGCCUCACUGAGGAAGAUCUGUCCAUUGGUGUCAGUAGGGUGUAAGUCUCCUACUAUCAUUGUAUUCCAGUCAAUUUCUCCCUUUAUGUCUGUUAGUAUUUGUUUUAUAUAUUUAGGUGCUCCUAUAUUGGGUGCAUGUAUUAUUGAGCGUAAUAUCCUCUUCUUGUAGUGAUCCCUUUAUCAUUAUAUAAUGUCCUUCUUUUUCUUUAUGGACUUUGUUUUAAAGUCUAUUUUGCCUGAUAUGAGUAUUCCUACCCCUGUUUUCUUGUCAUUUCCAUUUGCAUGAAAUAUCUUUUUCCAUCCCCUCACUUUCAAUCUGUGUGUCUUUCUCCCUGAAAUGAGUGUCUUGUAGGCUGCAUAUUAUAGGUUCUUGUUUUGUUUUUUUUUUUGUGGUAUGCGGGCCUCUCACUGUUGUGGCCUCUCCCAUUGCGGAGCACAGGCUCUGGACGCACAGGCUCAGUGGCCAUGGCUCACGGGCCCAGCCGCUCUGCGGCAUGUGGGAUCUUCCCAGACUGGGGCACGAACCUGUGUCCCCUGCAUUGGCAGGUGGACUCUCAACCACUGUGCCAUCAGGGAAGCCCUAGGUUCUUGUUUUUUUAUCCAAUCUGCCACUGUGUCUUUCGAUCAGAGCAUUUAGUCCAUUGACAUUUAAAGUAAUUAUUGAGAGGUAUGUACUUAUUGUCAUUUUAAACCUUGUUCUCCUGUUGAUUUUGUAGUUCUUCUUUGUUCAUGUCUUCUUUUUUGUUUUUCCUUUUGUGGUUUGAUGGUUUUUUAAAUAUUAUGUUUGAGUUUCCUUCUUUUUGGUUUUUGUGAAUCUAUUUUAUGUUUUUAAUUUGUGGUUACCCUGGUUUUCAAGUAUGUUGACCCAUAACUAUAUCUACUUGCUUUAAACUGAUAGUCAUAUAAGCGCAAACACAUUCUAAACAAUCUACAAUUUUUUAGUCCCCUCCUCCAAAUUUUGUGAUUUUGAUGUCCUAUUUUACAUCUUCAUGUUUGCUUUUGCUAUUAAUUGUAGAUAUAAUCACCUUUACAACAAUUUUUUGAUUGUUUUUUAAUCUAUGUACUGGCUUAAGUGAUCUUCAAUCCUUUUAUAUAUUUGCCUUUCCUAUUGGGAUUAUCCCUUUCCUAUAGAUUCUUGCUUUUCUAUUUAGAGAAGACCUUUCAAUAUUUCUUUUUUUUUCUUUUUUUUUCCUGGCUGCACCACAUGGCAUGCGGGAGCUUAGUUCCCUGACCAGGGAUAACACUCAUGCCCUCUGCAGUGGAAGCGUGGAGUCCAAUAACUGGACUACCAGGGAAUUCCCUCAAUAUUUCU